UUGAGAAAAGGAAGAAAAAAAAUAAGAAAUGAAGAGGCAAAAAUAUGAAAGAAAAGAAAAAGAAAAAAAUUUAUAGAAAAUUUUAAAACGAAGGAAAAAGUUAACAAAAAAAAAAUGAAAGCACAUAAAAAAAAGAAGAAAAAUUUGAAAGGAGAAAAAGUUAAUGAAAAAUUAUAAAAAUGCAAUAGAAAAUAACCGAGAAUGAUAAAAGAAAAGAAGAUAGAAAAAUAAAAAAUUCCAAAACUUUAUAAAAAUUUAUGAAACUAUAAACAAAGAAAGAAAAUAAAAAAGAAAAAGAAAAAAGAUAAAUAAAGCACAAAAAAAGAAAUAAAAGAAAAAUACAACAAAAAAUAUAAAAAGUAAGAAAAUAAAAAAGGACAAAAAUUGAAUAAAAAUUUCAAAAAUGAAAUGGAAUGACAAAAUGAAAAAAAAUAGUUUAAAAAAUACAAAAAAUUGAAAAAC
rnacentral:lncRNA from 1 species